UCUGUAUAAGCAAUUUUAUGAAAAACACAUAAACUGUAACCAAAUUUUAUUAUUAUAAAGAAAAAAAAACUUAAAGGUACGAAAAAUGAAAACAAAAUACGAACUUUAACAAAAGUCUUAUUUAUAAAAUAGAGAAAAUAAACUAAAAAGGGCACAACAACAUAAACAUAUAGAGCAUAAUGCAUUAUUUGUUCAUCCAUAUCAGUUAAUCACCCAAAUUCCACAAUUCAUAGGUUCUAUGUUACUCGGUUGAAGUCGACUAACCAAACAUAACCGAACCUAAUUACAUUUAAUGUAAUGAACCUUCUUGUGACCACCAAGUGCUUGACCAGAUUCAAAUACUCUGCCACAGACUUCACAUUCAUAACGUCGGUCUUGAUCAUUCUUGUCUCAAAUCUUCAACCGUUGGUUUUUAUGGCUCGUUCGAUGACCACCUAAUCCCAUGAGUAGUAUUGGUAUUGGAUCCCGGGACAGACGAGAGAAGCCUGGAGCUCAUCUUUCUCUUUAGCAUCACGCUCUGCUUUGAUCUCAGCUUCUCUUCUACGUAAAGCCUCUUUCAUCAUGAGUUCUUUAACCUUCUCUGCCUCCUUCAUAGUAUCUUCGUACCUCUGCUUCUCCUUUGAAGCUGUAUCUUUAGCUAGUUCUUCCUUUUCUUUUAGCUCCAUAAGCUUCUCUGACUCCUCAUAUUUUCGCUGGUUUAGCUCAGUUAGCUGCAACCAAAACAUAAAUAAGAACACAUAAUGUAACAUAACAAGAAAAAUGCCACGGUCAAAAGUCUAGACUAAAACCUUUUGAGAGGCAUCAACAGUCUCGGUUUGAGCCAUAGCAUACAUCUCCGAACAUGUUUCAGCUCGGCUCUCACCUUCUCCAUCUCAAAUGUCAGAUUCGCCUACACAAUUUGUUGUGAACAAACGCAAAUGAAACUCGAAGAAAACAAGAAAAUUUAGAUAUAAACUCAUAUUGCGAAAAUUACAUGUUUUUUGUAUGUUAAUUACAUAAAUGAAUAAUUUAUGAUAUAGAGAGAAACUCAGAUUGCGAAAAUUACAUGUUUUUAGGGUUUGUAUAUAUGUUAAUUACAUAAAUGAAUAAUUUAUGAUAUUAACAGAUAUUUAUAUCAAAACUCGAUAUUUCUUUUCUAAAAACUUUCUUAUUUAAUAAAAAAUGGUUUCCUUAAUCCCAAUGAAUACUGGUACACCGAGAUUUAAGUCAUUUCUAGAAUCAACACAAGAUGUAACUUCAGUUGCAAACAAAAAUCAAUACAGUGUGAUGAGAUGACUCUAGACUCUGGCUCUCAGAUCUCUAGAGAAAAUAGAAUCAAGAAUCAAGACAGUUAACUUACCUGACUAUUAUCGGUCAUGGAAUGGACACUGAGGUUAACCUCAGACAUGUUAGAUGCUUGAUGAGAAACAAAAGAAUAGUUCGCAGGAACCAAUGCUCCCCAGUCCAUAUUAGCUAUCUCAUGGUUGUUGCUCGAAGGGGCUCUGGGACUAGGACUAUCAGGAUCGGAGGGACACUCGUGGAACUGUCUCUCUCCAUUCUUUCGAACCUUAUCGUUCCGCUAGAGUCGGAAUCGGAAGGACGCACAGAAGCUAGUUUCCUCUUUGAGACAACAUAGACUGCAGAAUCUUGGCACAGCAGUUGCGAUCAUAGAGGACAUACCGAUCUUUUUCGCGAAGAAUCCGGGAUGAGACAUUCCUAUAACGAGUUUGGUGACUCCAGUUCCAGCAAUCUCUUCCGCUAUCGCAGCUACAGGAUCGUGUGAUUCCAGCACCAGGAUCUCUACUCGCACCUAUUUUGUAACAUUUUUGAGAAAACACAACAAGAAAGGAGAGACUAAACCUAGUUCUUUGAGACCGUACCUUUCUGCUUUCGAACAUUUGCUUGUAAGGACGAAGCAGCUCGUUUGUGUUCCCAUCUACUUCUUUUCUGUAAGCUGAUACUGCUUCAGCACUUAUCGCUAAAUAUAGAUAUCGCUUUCCCCACUGAAAACAAAUAAAUAAAAACUCAAUAAUCUUUGUUACCAAACACAUAGAUAUUUUGCAGUAGCUACAAGAUUCUGGUGACGACUUACUUGGGGUAAUAAUGUAAGUGAUAGGAGGACGAACAUAGAUCAAUUUGAAAUCAGAAAAGCCUCCAGGGAUGAACUUCUCAAGAGCCCAAUACGCGACGUCUUUGCUCUUCUUAUUUCCAUUAAUAGCUACAGCUACAACAGGAGAUGGUGGAGAUAGAUGAUCGCUUGAUGAUCUUGCUGACAUCUUCUUGUCCAUUGCUUUACCUGCAACUAAUGAAAUGUAAAUUUAAUAAUAGAUCUCAACGAAUAUGCAUGUAAAUAUAACAGAGCGAUGGGGCUUUUAGAAAAAAACCAUGACACAACUUGCCUAGUAGUUUCUGUUCUAGAAGAGAACUAUGAGGAAGAAGAACCCUAAAUUUGGUGAUAUAAUGGCAUUUUCUUAAUAUGAAAUAAUUGCAACAAGCCAUCGUUGUUGCCGCCACAACCUUUAUUUAUAACUUGUUCACUAAUUAAUUAAUUUUCUUUAUUUAUGCGUUGAAAAAAUAAUACAUAUUUUUCUAUAAAAAUAUUCCUUAUUUUCCACAGAGUAUCAUUUUUACAUUUUUCUUGUUAUAUAAAAAGUGUCAUUUUAAAAUUUAAUAUAAUUUAUAUUUAUUUUAAACUUAAUAUUUAUUGCAAAAUUGAUUUUAUAAAAUAUAUUUAUUUCCAAAUACUAAUUAAUACAAUAUAAACACAUUUCAAUCAUUCUUUAAAUUUGUGUGAAAAACUGAAAGUGUCUAACUAACACUCUUUGUAUAUUUGUAUAGAAUGUAUUUAGUCUUAUAGAAUCGUAUACAUGACUAUUUAUCAUGAUUCAUUAAUGUAUGCAACAAGUAGAGAUGUAGGCUUCGAAUGUUACUAACCGCUCUGCCCCUGCAUCGCAGUUAACAGUAACAAAAAUCUCUACAUAUACAAUAUAUCUAUACAUUAUUAUAACCGUUAAAACUGCACCGCAGUUAAAUAGCUUAUUCCGUACCGCUCAAACUGUAGUUACCAUUCGAAGCCGUAAUCAUUAUUUAUAUCGUAUACUAGAAUCAUUCUAUGUAUUCAUUAUGUGCUCAUGUACUCAAUACGUGCUCGUGUUCUUACAAAAAAAAAGAUUCUAAAUUUCGAUAAUUACAGAAAGUCAACUAUGUUUCUAUGUUCACUGAAAAAAAAAAAACAAAUCCUAGAGUAUAUUUUUCUGAUCAAUUCAGACAUAUCCGAUGAAACUAAAUCGGCCAAUGGGGGAACAGAUUUCUGUUUAAAGAAACAAUAUAUAUUACAGUAAUAUUGUUCAUGCUACAGCUGGUGAAGUCGGGUCUCCGUUGUGUCAAUGGGAAAAUGUGCUUGGAGCCUCGGUCACUGGAAUUGUCUCGACAAAUGAGAAAGCGGCUCAGUCCAAAGAAGAUAUGGAUGCUACCAUGUUGUUAUGUAAAAGAACCGAGUAUUUUGUUUCACAGGUCAACGAUAUUACACUGGAAAGGAGUUGAAGUUGUCUACGACUCAGUGGAAAAAAACACCUCUUGUGUGGAAACUUUUAUUAUUAUUGUUCAUUUCUGUUCUAUUUUUUUGUGUCUUUUUAUUGUAUAAGUGUUUGUCUCCAUAAUCUGCAUAACAACUUUGAAAGUGUUUAUGUUAAUAAACAAACGACGCGAAUCAAACAUGAAAAGCAAGAACAUUUAGAGAAAAACAUGAUUAAUACAAAUACCCAUUUUUUAGGGUUUGUUUAUUAAUUCUGUAAGUAAAUAAUUUACAAUCCGUUAAAUCUAUACCCAUGCUUAAAAAUUCGAUAUUUUUUUUUCCUUUUAGAAAAAUUCACUUAUUUCAUAAAAUAGUUUUUCCUUGUCGUAUUAGGUAUUCGAAUGCGGCCUUCUAUUGGUUUACUAAAAAUUUACGUCAUUUCCAAAAUAAACAGUUUAGAACUUCAUAGGCUAAUGAUAAUGCAAUAUUGUCACUUUAGAUGUAACUUCAAGCUAAAGCAUUGUUGUGCUCACAACGCAUGACAAAAGUAAAAACAUAUGGGCAAUGUAAAUUAAAUUUGUUCAGAUGUGUGUUUUUGUAAAUGGAGUAGUGGUUUUCGGCCAAAAAAAUUUAUGCGAUUAAUAGAUUUUUUUUUUAAAGGUUUCUAAUAGAAAUUUAUUUAAGAAAACCUUUUCAUACAUUCAAAGGGAGUUUUGAGUCUUGACAACCUCUGACUCUUGUUUUUUUUUUGGUUAUAGAAUAUUAUUAGCUUAUAUAUAUCUUUGGUAUAGUUUCCUUUAGCUAACCAUUGGGUUAGUGUGGUUUGGUUUCCUUUUGCUUAACUACCUGAGUAUAAAUACAUAACAAUGUAUGCUUUCUAAGGUUAAUGUUUAUUUUCAUCAUCUUCUUUUCUUCAAUAAAUAUCAUGCAUACAAGCUACAAGUGGAUAAAAAGAGUGAUAUCUACAGAUACAGAGUUAUAUUAUUAGAAAUCAUCAAAGGAAAUUAAUAAAUCCGUCGAACUGGGAUUCAGGGAAGGUAACUGUAUUGUGGAUUGGGCUAAGUCAAAGCUGAAGAUACAAGAACAUGUAGUAGAAGAAGUUCUAGACAAAGGCAUGGGUAGGUCUUGUAGUAUGAUAAUAGAAGAGAUGAAACAAAUGUUGAGAAUUGCAUCGUUAUGUACAAGUUGAAAUCCGACAGAUCGGCCGCCAAUGAGAGAUGUGUUGUUGUUUCUUCAAGAGGCAAAGCCUAAGAGGAAAAUGAUAGGAGCUAAUGUGAUCGUUCUUGGUAAUGUUAGUGAUGCUAAUAUUGAAGAUGUUUGUGGUCAAAAGAUUGAGGUGUUGUGAGGUGUUGAUAUACAUUUCUUUGUAUGGUGUUUUUAAUGUAAUUGUAGAAUUGUUUUUGAAGGGUGUUAGAGAGGAUAUAUAUGAGAGUACUUUUGCCUUUGCUUCCUUUCAUAUAUGAAAGAAAUGAUUUUUUUUUUUUUUUGAACACAAGCUCAUAGAAAUGGUUUUAAAGGAUCAACCAAGCUCAUAUAUUUGUCGGGCUGAAGAGAGUGACUGGGUCUUUUACUCAUUAUCGGCCCGUUUAAUUUCACCGUUAUCGAUUUACAACUCCAAACGAUUUUGGAACACUUAAUUGAAUAUAUUUGACUUCGCUUAGUCAAACAAAAACAUAAAUUAUGAUUAAUUUGUAAAUUUACACGUAUGUAGAUAUAUUAAAUAUAGGAAAUUUUCUAAAUAAAGCAUAAUAAUGUUCCAUUAAUGUUUUAGUCUUGUUGUUUGACUGGCACAAUAUUACUAUGAAUUAUGAAUAGUUUUUAAUCUUGCACUAUGAAUUAUGUUUUUUUAUGAAUUAUGUCCUUAAUCAUAUUAAUUGCUCUACACCAUAUAGAAUCACUACAUCGACAUUUAUUUCGCUAUUUUGUGCUGAAAAUAAAUUCCGAAAGUAUAUUCUGAACAAGAAACUUUAUGAUAAACACAUAAACUGUAACCAAACUUUUAUUAUUAUUAUUCUUAUUAUAUUUUUUUAUAACUUUUAUUAUUAUACAAAACAGAAAAUAAACUAAAAAGGGUAGAAAAACAUAAACAUAAGGAGCAUAAUUCAUAAUUUGUUCAUCCAUAUCAGUUAAUGACCCAAAUCAAUUCAUAGGUUCUAUGUCACUCGGUUGAAGUCGACUAACCAAUAAUAACAGAACUAAUUAUAUGUAAUGAGUCUUCAUGUGACCACCAAGUGCUUGACCAGAUUCAAAUUCUCUGCCACAAACUCCACACUGGUGACGUCGGUCUUGAUCAUUCUUUUUGUUUGGAACUAAUUCUCGGUCUUGAUCAUUCUUGUCGCAAAUCUUCAACCGUUUGCACUUAUGGCUCGUUCGAUGACCACCUAAUGCCUGAUACGAACCAAAAACUUUUCCACAUACAUCACAUAUAAAUUCUUUCUUACACUUUUUCUCUCUCGUAACCAAAUUUGUUUCGUCAGCAUCAUUAUCCUCAUCAUCUUCACCGUUGUCUUCUGUUAGGGUUUCCACGUUUUGAGUGAGAAGCUCAGCAACAGACUUGUAUUUGACUUCUUUAUUAUCAUCAUCAGAAUCUAAAUCUGUUUCGUAAUAUUCUUCUUUACCGUUUGGAGUUGCUAACAAACGAUCAAUAGCAUUCCAAUUCUGAGAAUUUUCUGGCCUCUGCCCCUUAGACAUUGCUACAAGAAUUAAACCAGCUUCUUCGACAGCUGUCAAAGGACUACCAGACCCGGUAGAAUCUGCCUCGUCCACGAUCAUCUUUCUCUCGCCUUUUAUUUGAUGUGCACCGUCUUCUCUCUUUAGAUCUGGUCCCCCAAUCAAAACGGUUUCAUUGUUGGAUGUCUCUAGCGAUGGAAGGGUCGAGCCACUCGCUGAUUCUGACAUCAUGUGCUCUCUUAGAGUACUCCCAUUUGAAAAUGACUUAUUGCAACUCAUUUUGAUGAAAAAGAAACAAGGAAUAAAAAAAGCUAUAGAAGUUUUUUGGUGAUAAUGAUUUUGAUUGCUUUUGCUGCGAGAAGAGUUUGCUUGAAUAUAUUGUUGUAUGAUUUGUGCAUAUAUAUAGCUUCAGAAAUCUGAAGAAAUCAUAAAUACGUACAAAUACUAUUCAAAAGGUAAUCCAGAAAUCGGAAGAAAACAUAAAUACGUACGAAUUAUUCAAAAGGAGUUAACCACUUACCAUAAGUGUUUAGUGCACUAUGCUCUUAAGUCUUAACAAUUAAUUACUAACUGCUUAUUUAGGUCUAUCGAUUAAGUGGUAAUUAAUUAACUGUAGCUUUAUAAAUUAUUAGUCACAUUGUGUCAUUAACUCAGUCUCCGUCAAAACCGUUUAUAUAAGAUAUUUUGCGUGAGAGAUGAAUAGCCCAAACUAGAAACAUGAAAUAAAAGCAGUAGUUAGCCAUAUAAAACCAUGCCAUUAACAUCAAAAAAGAAUUAAAAAUGAAAUAAGAUCGACAGAGAAGAGAAAGAAAACAAUUAUUUAGUAGAUAACAAUCAUAACAUUAUUAUACAUCACUUUUUGUCAAGGUAUUAUACAUAACUUUAUUUCUUAGUUUUACGCAAAUAGAGAAUCGAGUAUAUACUUGGAAAAUAUGAAAACAAGAACCUGUUAAUAAAAAAGAAAGAGAUCAUUACACUCUUCUAGGCAAUCCGAUGAACAAAUCAGUUUCGACAUUGGAUAUGUGGAUGUUUUCACAGCCAGAGGAAGAUGCAUUCUUCUCACUCUCUAAGUUCCUCGACUGCAUCCACAAGGGCUUUUCUUCAAACUGAAAUGAUAACAAGUUAAAUCCUAAACAAAAGAAACUCAAUAAUCAGAGAGAAACAAACAAAAAGUUCACGAAAAACGAAUAACUUUUUGACGGACGAUUUUCAGAUUUCCUCAAGUUAGAUUUCAGUCGAAAGCACUAUUAAUCAACCACAAGAUUUUUCAUGAGAGUUAAGUCAUGGAUGUCAAAGGUUAAUCCACCAUGAUGUCUAUAGACUAUAGCUGAAUGAUAUUUUUGUUAUUUAAAGAAUAAAGAGAUAAAGCGCUAAACGAUUUUGUUUUUUAACAUCAAAAGAUUAUUAUAUUAUUAAAUUAGAUGAUCUUUGUAACUAGUAGAUUAGAAUAUGACAGUCAACAACAAAAACAUUAUAUAUAUGGAACGCUCUAACAAUCUUAGCUAAUGAAUCUAUCAUUGUGUUCUAUUGAGAAAUCAUGAAAACUUCCCUUCAGAGUUGUGAACUUAUAUAUAGUAUCCAUAUGUACUAGUUAUAAAUAUAGAUAGCAAAGACUAAGUUCAUGAUUAAAUAAGUGUAGGGCGUGCAAGAAUGAAUACAUGCAUAUAUGUCCUUGGAUUGUAUAUAUAUGCGUAUGCGUAUACCAUUUCGUGCAGCCUAGUUCUCUCGUUCAACAGCUCUCUUUUUCCUGCAAUCUAAUAAGAUCAAACCCAAAAAAAAGCACAAUGAAAUUUAUAUAUUAUAUGCCGUAAAGAACCAACUAAAAUAAUAAAGUAAAAUUACCUCUGCUUUUAGUUUCCCCACCUCAUCUUCAUUUAACUUAGCCUGCCAAAAUUGUAGAAUCCGGAAUAAGCAGUUGCACAUGCUGGUUCGAUAGCUAAUCAUUUAGACUCAGAAGUCCCAGAGAACAUAUGUUGAUAUGUGUAACAGAAAAUACUCUAGAAGACCCUAAUUAUAAGCCAUUAGUGCUAAACACAUUAUAACAAACACGUAAAGAUUUCAAAAUCAAGUACUAUGUAUUUAUUAAGUUUACCUUCCUUGAUCUAACAAUAGUAAGGCUUUUCUCAAUUUGAAUAGUUAUCUCUUUGAGCUCCUCCACCGAACAAGUAUCUAAAUCUUCCCCCAUUAGCCUCCUAAGAUGCAUAUUAUCGCCUUCAUGAGCUUAUAUAGAAUCACCUAUUGCAUUAUCUAUAGAAAUAUCAGAAACUAACCGGCAAUGACGUUGAAGAAGUUCAAUGGAGUUCACCAUAAUCGUGAUUUCAUCCUUGAGAUCCUGCACCUGCUGCUCUUUUUGGAGUCUCUCUUCAUGAAAAUAUUCCCUUCUAUGUAACUCACAUCGUUCGAUCAUCUUCUUCAUGCUGAAUUAGUUUUCAGGAUCACUUCAUCAAUCAUCAUUAUAAUAUUUCUAAAGUAUACAAUUACUAUUUUCCGAAAAUGUUAUCAUGACCAACAAGAACAUUCACACAUAUGCAAGAUUUAUAGAUUGUAUGCAUAUUUUCCGAGCCUAAAUUCGAUACAUUUUGUCGAUAUGCGCUUGGCCUAUCUCAGGAUUAGUAUAAUUAAAAAGUAUGAAAGAUUUCCGGAGGAUGAAGAAUGUACAUAGUAAGGUUUUCGAUAUGCCAUUCCACCUAUUAAAGGAGAAGAAAUAGCUGAAUAUAUAAUAUCAAUUUGUUAGUAAUAUAUGUCUUUUUAAUUUGUGUAACUUGGUUUCCUAUCUAUACAAACUCAAUGGCAAAAGCAUUACUAUAAGCUAGGAUGCACUCGCCUUUCCAUUACGUACCAACGAUUUGCUUUAAAUGGUCAAACUUGGUAAACUCGAAACUGUGAAUGAAACAUAAACUCUUGUUCCAAAAGUUUUGGUUGGUUAAUUAUCUAAACCCACUCAAGUGUAGAUAUUGGCAAUUCGCUAACAAAAUAAUGGGAAGAGAUGAUUAGUACAGUUCACCUAGUGACUAUCAAUAUAUGGUUUCACAUGAUUAUGAUCAUUGUUUGGGUUUGAUAAUCAUUAGUGGCAUCAUUUAAGUUUGGAUUUGGUUUAAGAAACUAACUCACCUAUCGGCUAUAUAAGAGAUCAACACAUUUAAUAGCAUGAAAACUUCUCGAGGGCUAGAGUUUGAGACCCUAGCAAAAAUCCAAAAGAUCUUCUCAUACUUCAUGGGGGAUUUUUAAAUUGGUCCAAUUGUACUCUUAACAGUAUGGCAUGAACACUAGGAUGUUUCAAUAUAAUUAUAAACAUGUCAAGUGGUUUCAGCAUGAGUUUCAAGGCAUACUAGGUUCAAAGUUCAAGAACACUUCUUUGGAAAGUCCUAAAUUGAUUGCUCGUGCUUAAAGAAGAACUGUGAUUAGGUUUGAAUUCAUUUAAAUAAAAACUUCGUGGUACUAUUGAGUAAAUAAAUGACAAAAAAAAAAAACUUUAAGAAGGCAUAAUUUGUUGAGAAGUUAAACGCAACAGCUACAAUUAGCUAGAAAUCUAUUGUGCGAUACAUAAAUAAAUUAGCAAAGUAAAGUAAGAACAGAAGAUUCAUUUCUAUAGAAUAAACAGUAGAUUGUAAAUAUGUAUAAAUGUGUAUUAAUUGGAUUAAAAGUUAUAGAAAUGUUAGGUUACUUACUCGGAGCUAGCGUAUUCGUAUAGUUUGCCUUUCUGAGAAAAGACAAUGGCUGCGACUUGAGCAUCGCAUAGAACUGAAAGCUCGUGAGCCUUCUUCAUGAGACCUUUCCUACGCUUGGAGAACGUGACUUGCCUGCUCGUUAGGUUUUCGAUUCUCUUGAUCUCGAUCUUCCCUUUCACCAUCCUCCUGCCAUGAUUAGUGGGUGAAUCCAUAUGAAACCCUAAGUCUGAACAAUUUUAUAGGAAAGAGAAAAUUAGUUUCUUUUUCUUUAGAAACAAAUUCACUUGGAUCCAAAUCAAAACCAAGGUACUGUUUCUUGAUAACAAAAGAGAGAUC